rnacentral:rRNA from 1 species
CCAUCGGUAAGGCCGGGCGACUCUGGAUGGACUGCCGGCGCAAGCCGGAGGAAGUGGGGACGACGUCAAGUCAUCAUGGCCCUUAUGUCCAGGGCGACACACGUGCUACAAUGGCCGGCACAACGGGAAGCGAAGGGGCGACCCUGAGCGGAUCCCACAAAAGCCGGUCUCAGUUCGGAUUGCAGUCUGCAACUCGACUGCAUGAAGUUGGAAUCGCUAGUAAUCGUGGAUCAGCCAAGCCGCGGUGAAUACGUUCCCGGGCCUU